rnacentral:rRNA from 1 species
UGAGGAAUUUUGCGCAAUGGGAGCAAUCCUGACGCAGCAACGCCGCGUGGGUGAUGAAGGCCUUCGGGUCGUAAAGCCCUGUCAGGUGGGAAGAAUGUCCCGGGACUGAACAGGUUCCGGGAGUGGCGGUACCACCAGAGGAAGAACCGGCUAACUCCGUGCCAGCAGCCGCGGUAAUAAGGAGGGUGCAAGCGUUAUUCGGAAUUACUGGGCGUAAAGCGCGUGUAGGCGGUCCUGCAAGUCUGAUGUGAAAGCCCCGGGCUUAACCCGGGAAGUGCAUUGGAAACUGUGGGACUUGCGUACCGGAGAGGAUUGGGGAAUUCCCGGUGUAGAGGUGUAAUUCGUAGAGUUCGGGAGGAAUAUCAGUGGCGAAGGCGCCCAUCUGGACGGUAACUGACGCUGAGACGCGAAAGCGUGGGGAGCAAACA